CGUACGAAUACCGACCGUUUCCUUCAGCGAGAGAGAUAAAAUAAUAAACGCCGAAUAAACAGAGGACAUAUGAAAGUGUAGCCUUCAUGAGGAGGACCAGUGUAAUAUGGAGUCUUGGAGUCUUGCCCAAGGACUCUUAUUGGGGUAGUGCAGAAUUCAGUCACCCAGACCAGGAACUAAACCCUAGUCUCUCACAUCAUGUGGCUGCUCACUGCGACCAAUGAAAUGCACUGUGAGAUCUGAAGUCAAGUUUCUUGUGGAUUUGCAGCCAGAGAUUAUGCAGUAGAGACCAGAAGAGGAGGAGCCAGACCCACCUUCUUAUUUGGAAGACCUGCCCCUCUCUCCCAGACCAGGCGUCUCAGACUUCCUUUAUUGAGUUUUCAAGCACAGUAAAAAGCAGAGUGGGUUUCUUCACUAACAACUCAGUUUGUCAGGUCAAAGUUGUUGCAAUACAUGCAGCUCACAGCAAACAGCACAAAGGAACAUGGGGGAAAAAAAACAUUUUCGUCAGCAUCUGCGGCAACAUCUCAGGCCUUCUCCGGUCAGCUAAUAAUGGUCACUCAAUCAGGUCACAAGACAGACAUGUUCUUCACCAAAGAUCUUCCCUUAAUGAAUCCCUUCUAAAGUCGCUCUCUCGCUCGCUCUCUCGCUCUCUGGACCAGCGUCGAUUGGUGGGCUGAUGGCUCCUCAUUAGCCUCGCCGUGCAGGAAAUGGAGGGUGGGCGGCAAUCAGACUCUGCCAGUGGUGGGAGACCCACCCACACGAGCAGCUCCACUAGAGGCCCGGAGAUGUGAUUACAGCUCAUUACCGUGGUGCGUGCGCAGGAGGUGGGAGGGACACCGGUCAUUAUGGCGCUCAGAUGUAGGCGGUGCCCCGAAACACACAGGAAGCUGUGGGCAGCGCAUACGCCUAAGCUGCAACCCUGGAGUCCUUCAGGAGGCAUAUUGAAUGUGGAGCUCCACUCCAGGGAGCUGGCAGUGCAUAAUUACUUGGACUCGCAACACAGAGCUUGGUGCACAGAGCGGUGGCACUUCGCCUUUGACUGGGUUAUUAGAGGACUCUCAUUCUAAUAUCAGCCGUGGCCUCCGAGCACCUACACAUUAAACCACGGACUAAUCCAGCGCUCACAAGAUUAGAGCAUUGUUUCCAGUACUGUGAGGCAGUGUGAGAAGACAAGACAGGAGCUGCCAAGAUUAAAGCUCAGGUUAUAGUUCAGAUAAAGCACAUUGGUCAAAUUUACUGAUAUGGAUAAAUUACAAAUAUUAAACUAAUGAAGAUUU